ensembl:misc_RNA
CAAGAUUUUCUUCUCCAGUGGGGACAGCUGACCUGUAGCAAUCCUGGGGUCUGUAGACAUUUUAGCCCAGGACAAU